rnacentral:lncRNA from 1 species
AUUCAGGCCUCCGCCAGCUUCUAGGCCCUGGGGAUGGUCUUUCACCUCCCUCUUUCUGAUCUCUUUUUCAUGCUCCUCCUUGCUCCAAAGAAAAGCCGGAUGGCAAAAGAGCCCAGAACCUAUUGGAACUGACAAAAUCAAGUCACGGCGCCUACAAAGAUGAGGGGCAGAUUCUGGCUGCCUUUUAAUUUCGUCCUUCACCUGAUAUCUGUGCCAGAGAAUGGAACUUGGGGCGGCCCCUGUCCAGUUCAAACCAGCUGAGACCACCAACCCUCUGAAUGCACCUGCAUGGAUGUCGGAAAAGUGACACUUGCCAUCAGAGGGCCAAAACUCCACCCUCAGAUCAUGUUAACACUGCUAUUUUCUGACCAUGUGUCCUAAGAAGAGCCGUGAGCCCAGACUGCACUUGCUCAGAUCACCAGUUACCUCACUUCUCCCCACCCUCAAUCACCUUUCCCCACCUUAGACCAUCCUAAUUCUUUACUCCAUAAAUAUCCCUAAGCAUUAUCCUUGAGGAGGUAGAUUUGAGAGCUGUUCUCCCAUCUCCUGGCUGGGUUGCCCUGUGAGUAAAUCUUUUCUCUUUUGCAAAACCCAUUGUCACCAUGACUGGCUUACUGUGUGCAGGCAGAAUGAACCUGGUUUGGUGUCAUAUCUACGAGCUCCCAGACAAUGCCAGUCCCACUGGACUAAGGGUCUCACUUUGAGUAACAAGUUCUUAAAAGUCUCCUGGAUCAAGUUCUUCUGCCCUGACCGUCUUUUUCAUAAUAGUCUAGAGCAAGACUUCACACACAAGAAAUGUUGGACUGUCUCAUAGGCAGAAGGGUUUGUGGGAAAAGCAGUGAGUCCAUUUGAAAGCUACAAAAGUAAAGUGAGCUCUCAUCAUGUCACCAAUAAGUGUUCUGUUUUUAAUUUUCAGAUAAAAAUCAUAAUAAAGGAAAUAAUGGAAGAGGAGACUUAUGUUACUGGGGACAUCUAACAUAAUUAUUUUCCUGAUUCAGUGGCAUGGUUCAGUCUUCCAGGAGUUCUGCUACAGAGAAGAGAGUAACCCCCAUCCAUCAUGGCCAAAGCACCCAGUCAGGCUCCGCUCUGGAUCCAGCCCGACAAAUGCAACCCUUGAAUAGGGUUUGUGCAAGCAAACUGGAUGACGACCGAAGAAACCCUGUCGCUUCUGAGAAGACACCCAAUCCAAGAAUGAAAGCAUCAGGUUCAAUACCUAGGAACUCCUGUAGAGGGUGUUGUGGAAUCUUCUUUAAAAGAACAAAACAAGGCAAAACAAAGUUUAAUAGGGUAGAGCAGCCAGGUGUGGUGGGUCAUGCCUGUAAUCUCAGCAAUUUGGGAGGCCAAGGCAGGAUCUCAGCAAUUUGGGAGGCGAAGGCAGGCAGAUCACUUGAGCCUAGGAGUUCAAGACCAGCUUGGGCAACAUAGCAAGACCCUGCCUAUACCAAAAAAAAAAAGUGAACCUAGGAGUAUGAGGCUGCAGUAAGCUGUGGUUGUACCAGUGCACUUUGGGAGGCCAAGGUAGGCGGGUCUUCUGAGAUCGAGAGUUUGAGACCAGCCUGACCAACAUGGAGAAACCCCGUCUCUACUAAAAGUACAAAAUUAGCCGGCAUGGUGGUGCAUGCCUGUAAUCCCAGCUACUCGGGAGGCUGAGGCGGGAGAAUUGCUUGAACUCAGGAGGCAGAGGUUGUGGUGAGCCAAGAUCGCGCCAUUGCACUCCAGCCUGGACAACAAGAGCGAAACUCCAUCACAAACAAACAAACAAUAAACAAAAACCAUAGAGUGAUUUCUGGCCAACAGAGCAAGAAAGAAGUGAACCAAUGAAAACCGGUCCAAGUCUGGGAGUCAAUAUGGAAAAGCUGCCUAAUUAAUGUGGAAGCCCCAGGGAAAUGAUAUACCAUGAAAACCUAACACUACAAAAACUAGUUGUCAGACACAUGUGAGCAGUGAACAGAAUCCUAAUAUGCUGGUUUAACAUUCAAAACUGGAGAGUGUUUGUGUAUCUUCUAAAGACUGUUUGGGGUUUAUUUGUGGAGUUCAGCUGAGUGUCAUCAGAACAAAGAUUAGUGCAAAAAAUCUUUCAGAAAUCAUGCCCAAACAUUUGCAUGCACCUUAAAUAAGAAAUGAAAUAGCAAGAAGAGUAUGUCACAAUAAAGUAUAAAUAGCAAGUGAUAUGUCUCAUCGUACUGAGACAGUUUUAUAAAUGAGGCAAAGGCCUUGUCAAAAAAUAAUGAUGAUUUUCAAAAUUCUGAAACGCAAAGGAGGAAAACUACUUCAUUCAGUUAACAGGAAGCACACAAGAAUCUCCCCAUCAACCAAGAUUUUUUUUUUCUAUAACCCACGCUUUGUAAGACAAUAAUAGCAAAAACUAUAAACUAGAAUUUGUUGAAAGAACAACUUCUAGAAUUUGCCCUUUAUGUGCUGUUUUACCAUUGUCAUGUCUGUCUCUGGUAUGACUUCCUCAUCUAUUAGUAGCCUCCUAAUAAAUUUGAACAAAUGAAUGAAUGAAUAAGAGACAACUAAGCAUGAGGUAUUGCAAGAUGGUAACUCAUCCAGGGAAAAUUAAAACCUGGAGUGGAUCAGAUGGAAAAACAAAAUAAGACACUAGAAAAAAAUCACCAGGAGGGUUUCAAACCAAAAGAUCCCCUGGUUAACCUUCAGCUAAUUAUAAGAUUUAAUUAACUAGAAAAACUCAAUCCUUGUUUAUUCUAUUUAAUUGAGAUUUUACCAUAUUUAAAAUGAUGUUACUCAAGUGUUCUCAUUAAUAUUUAAUGAAAGUGUGAGAGAAUUGGCUAACCAAAUUUACUGUGCUUAGGUAAACUGUAAUUAGGAAGGGUUAGCAGAGCAUCCCAAGGGACCUAUCAAUCACAAAAUGAAGCGAUACAAUUACAGAUGAAUUUCAACAAGGAAACACACAAAACAGUGAUCCUCAAAAAAGAUGGAAUAAAAUUACUUGAAUGUGGUAGUCGGUUCUGAGAAAUGCAAUCAAUCACAUGUCAUUUCAGACAACUCAGAAGGAAUAACCCUACCCAACAGACUUGAACUCUUUGUGUGUGUGUGUGUGUGUGUGUCUGUGUGUGUGAUAGAAUUUCACUCUUGUCGCCCAGGCUGGAGUGCAGUGCGAUCUCGGCUCACUGCAACCUCUGCCUCCCAGGUUCAAGCAAUUCUUCUGCCUCACCCUCCCUAGUAGCUGAGAUUAUAGGUGCCCACCACCACACCCGGCUAAUUUUGUAUUUUUAGUAGAGAAGGGGUUUCACCAUGUUGGCCAGGCUGGUCUCGAACUCCUGACCUCAGGUGAUCUUCCCACCUGGGCCUCCCAAAGUGCUGGGAUUACAGGCAUGAGCCACUGCACCUGGCCCAGACUUGAACUCUUGAUUGCAUGAAAGUGUAUUAAUCUUCUAUCUGCUUAUUCCCAAUUUCCCAGCUGAUAAAAUGCCCCACUGUUAUUUCACUUAAAUUUGGAAUAACCUGCAUCUAGUUAAGUUGGAGCUACUUUGUCUUGUUGCAGAUUUUCUUUUGCUUUGCUGUCUUCAUUCUAACUUGGCAGAGCCCAGGUGCUUUGUCUCUAUUUGCCUGCAAGACCUCUUUUCCAAGACAUGUCAGGUUUCUCUCUAAAGUACCUUCCACCUGGAGGAUAUCUGUUCUUGUUCUUUAAUUCCUGGCCCUAUUUCCUAUUCAUCUGAAAAACUAGGCUUUGUGAGCAGGAUCAUGCAUGGCAAUGAGUUCUAAUGAGUUUUUAAUGUUUCACACUUCAUGAUGAACAUAUAUUUGCAUUUCAGAAAAUGCUUUUAAGGAAUGUUUUUUUUU